rnacentral:tRNA from 1 species
GGGGUUGUAACUUAGUGGUAGAGUGCUUGCCUAGCAUGUAUGAGGCACUGGUUUCGACUCUCAACACCA